UACGUAGGUGGCAAGCGUUGUCCGGAUUUAUUGGGCGUAAAGCGAGCGCAGGCGGUUCUUUAAGUCUGAUGUGAAAGCCCUCGGCUCAACCGAGGAAGGUCAUUGGAAACUGGGGAACUUGAGUGCAGAAGAGGAGAGUGGAAUUCCAUGUGUAGCGGUGAAAUGCGUAGAUAUAUGGAGGAACACCAGUGGCGAAGGCGACUAUCUGGUCUGUAACUGACACUGAGGCGCGAAAGCGUGGGGAGCAAACAGG
rnacentral:rRNA from 1 species